GGCAAAGAAGAGGACCUUGGGUUUACUGUUCUCGAGAUGACCUCAUAAAGGUGUUCAAUGAUGAAGAGGAGUGGCUGAAGAGAGCUUCAGCAAGCAACCACUAGGGCAAUGUCAAAGAUCUUCAGGGGUAAGAAGACAAGGAGCAAAUAUUUUUAUCUUACUUUGUGAUUUUCAUAAUUUAAAAAAAAAAAAAAGAAAGAAAGAAAAG